ACCGAAACUCCAUCUCAAACAAAACGAAACGAAACGAAACAAAACAAAACAAAACAAAAACAGCUUGAGGACCAGAUAGGGCAUCAAAAGCGGAGAAAGCUGGGGAACUCUGUGUCCUCUGAAUCCAGUUCAGAUGGAAAGGAAGCCCCAGAGGGAGGACAGGUGGGGGCAGCUGGAAAGACAAGACCAGGCUCCCCUUCUUGGGUGUGGAGGGAGACAGUGGUCGGGACCCCCAGAGAGGGCAGAGCACCGGGCUGGCCGGUGGGGUGGGGUUCCCCGCAGGAGGCCUGUGCCGCCGGCUGUGUGGCCUGCGGAGGAGCCUGCCGAGCCUGCCGAGCCCCGCAUCCGGUGGGAAGUAGGAGUCUGGCACUUCCGGCUCGGGCUGCUGCAGCGGUUCCGGGCAUCUGCGCUAUUAGAAUUCUCCCGGCUCGCGGCGGCCGCAGGAAUCCAGUCACGUGGUAGACGUGGUGCCUGGGAGCCGGGGUCAGCGAGCGCUCAGUCUGAGAGAAAACGUGUUCCUUCCCCCUGAGACGUGUCCCGUGCCGGGCGAUGGCUCGCGGCAAACCUCCGCUCCCACAGGGAAGGAGCCCUGUGAGGCCUGGCCUGGGAGCUCUCGGGAGCGUGGGUGGAGAUAGAGAUGAAUCUACAAAAUGGAAAAAGUGUUGAACUUGGGAGUCAAGAGACCAGGAUUCUAGUUCUGAUGAUGCCCUUCACAUACCGAAUGCCCUGGGGAAGCCGCUUCCCUUCUCUCAGCCUUGGGUUCUCCAUGUGUCAAAUUAGGCUGUGGAAAAAGCCUCGGAUGGAAUUGCACUCAAGGACAUGUCUGCGUCAAAGCUUUUCUCCAAGUUCGUCUUCAGUUGCUAUUUCUGAAGCCACAUCACACCCUGAGAAACUCCUCCCUUUUCCUCUACCCUGCUUCUCCCCCCGUCUGUCUCCUUCUUGUCACUUUUAGUUGGUUUUGCACGGGAACUCUGAGGCCAUCCCAGCUGCCCUUGUCUGCCCGUGAGAAUCCCCUUCCACAGCGCCUCAAGAGCAGGAUGGAAGUUCCAAGAGUAUGAAUUCAUUUCAUGACAUGUACCUUUUGCAACAUACCCCGCAGCUGCAUGUCUUCAAGGAAUGAUGGGACACUAUGUUUAAGCUCCAGAAAUCGAAGCAGGACUCAAAGAAGCAGGCCAGUUCUGCUCUGCCCCCAAAGAGAAGGGGAAACUGAAGCCCAGAAAAGGAGAGGAACUGACUCCAAGCCACACGUUCAAUUAGAGAGAAGCCCACCCUCCUGACUCUUGAUCCAGGUCCUCUGGACUCUCAGCCAACACCUGUCCACUGCACUUCCUCCUUUGGGGAUGUGGGGAGUGAGGUGACCAGGA
rnacentral:lncRNA from 1 species